ACAACGUUUUUUGGAUAAAAAUGUUGUUGUUUAGUAUAUCAGACGUUUUUUAAAUGUUAUAGAUAAAAAAAAAAGAAAAAAGAUAUGGUUCACCUAUAUUACUAAUGCACCUGCAAUAUGCGAAUGCCAUGAUAUAUAGCCAAAAUGUAUCAACCAUUUAAAAUACAUCCCAAUAAUACCAUUCGUUUACAGUUUCAAAUUACUACAUCCAUAAAAUAUAUACCAAAAUGUCUAUAUAUACAUCUCAAAUUCACUUUUCAAUCCACAAAAUAAACCACAAUAAACCAAACUAUUCAUAAAAUUUAGCUACUACCUAAGCAUGUGCAAAAAAGCCUAAGUUCUCCCAAAAUACGCCAGUAACUUUUGCUCUAGCACUAGCCAUGGAUGGCAGUAACUUUUGCUCUAUCACUAAUAGAUUCUUGAGAUAAGGUUAACCUACUUCUGUUGCUUCUGCUACACUGCUUCUGUUGCUGCGACACACUUCUUGCUGCUGUUUGUAGCGAAGUGCUGCUGCCAAACAUUUAUAAACUGUUGUGACAUUUAUAAACAUUUUGUUAUCACAGAUGCCGACAGAUGAUGCCUACCUAAAUAUCAAGCUUGACUACAAGCCUGCUAUUAAAUGGAUAAAUGUUGCAGUGAUAGUCCCAAUCUGUCAAGCUUAACAUGAUGGAUGGUUGAUAACUCUUGAUCCCAAUUUCUCAAUACAGUUGUUAUAGACAACUAUUGCAUUGAUUAGAAAAGAGGUACUCAAUAAAGACCACUCCACAUUGGCACUUAAAAGAUAUGCAUGAAACACCAAUAAAUUAGAAUGAAAACUGAGAGAGAUUCCUGCAACUUUGAGAUUCAGAAAAUUUGCUUCAACGCAUACAAACUGGAAAAACAGACCAAAGAGAUACAAAUAAAAAAUGUCCUAGGAGCAGCUGUGGAUGCUAUUACCAAUGUUCGUCAUUAAUACUUAUUCAAGUAGCUGAAAAGACUCAAAGUUUUGUAAUAUAUAUCAUUUUCUUAAUAAUUAGCUUAGAUUAUUUAAAAAAUUGUAUUAAUUAUAAGAAACUGGGAAUCAAGUCUUACAGGGUCAAUCCUGUAUGCAAUUGUUGGAGGGGUUUCAUAGUUAAAUGUCCUAGGAGCAGCUGUGGAUGCAGAAAAAUGUGACUUUUGCUUCUCUUCAUCAGCUGAUGUAGUAC
rnacentral:lncRNA from 1 species